ACAACCUUACAUGAUGUACCAUCUUUCUCGAAUAUGAAUGUUUCUUCCAUUUUUGCAGCUGAGUUUGGAAUAGCGGUCAUUUGAAAAGAAUUUUAGUUACUUAGAAUGAGUACACAGUUCCCGUCGAACGAGGAAUUAUUUUUGCUAAUUCAGGACAUCAUUCGCACACACCAACAACAAACCUCUGUCAUUCUCCACGAGUUUUUCCAACUGAACAAUGUUGGUAGGCGGUCGAGAGCAAACAAUCCACGAUGUUUAUUUCGUCGUUUAGCCCGCAUCCCCACCCAAGUGAGGCGUUUAAAUAGAUUAGCAGGUGUCUCUGACCGAUCUUGCUUAGAUAAUCUGCAUAUGGAUCGUAAUUAUUUUGGGAGGCUUUGUAUACUUUUUAGAGAACGAGCUGGGUUGGUUGACGGAGCGUUUGUUAAAGUGGAAGAACAAGUAGCAAUUUUCUUAUGUGUAUUAGCACACCAUAAAAAAAACAGGAUAGUAAGCUUUGAAUUUUUGCCCUCCAAGCAUACGGUUUCACACUAUGUACAUGUAGUCCUCAACGCCCUAAUAAAACUUCAUGCUCUGUUUGUUGUGAAACCUACUCCAGUACCAGAUGAUUGUGUCGACAAUAGGUGGAAAUGGUUUAAGGGUUGUUUGGGUGCUUUAGAUGGCACCUAUAUCACUGUGUGAGUAGACAUGGCUGACAAACCAAGAUAUCGAACUAGGAAGGGGCAUAUAGCGACAAACACUCUGGCUGCAUGCACUAGAGACAUGCGUUUUACAUAUGUGUUGCCUGGGUGGGAAGGGUCGGCUGGUGAUGCACGAGUCCUACAGGACGCCGUGACACGCGAAUUUGGACUUAAAGUGCCUAGAGGUCACUAUUAUCUAUGUGACAAUGGAUAUGCAAAUAGUGAAGGAUUUUUAACACCUUAUAAAGGAGUUAGAUACCACCUAAAAUAAUGGGGUCCAAACACUAGAGGCCCAAGAAUCCUCGUGAAAUAUUUAACAUGCGGCAUACCAGUGCGAGAAAUGUUAUUGAAAGGGCAUUUGUGGUACUUAAAAUGCGCUGGAGCAUUCUCCGUAGCCCAUCAUUCUACCCGAUAAAAAUACAAAUCAGGUUGAUUAUGGCUUGUUUUCUGUUACAUAAUUACAUUCGAGGUGAGAUGAUUGUAGAUCCAAUUGAGGAGUUAGUGGAUAAUA